GGCGGGUUACCAGAGCGGCCAAAUGGGACUGACUGUAAAUCAGUUGCUUCGUGCUUCAGUGGUUCAAAUCCACUACCCGCCA
rnacentral:tRNA from 32 species